CUACGGGACGCAGCAGUGGGGAAUAUUACACAAUGGAGGAAACUCUGAUGCAGCAACGCCGCGUGGAGGAUGACACUUUUCGGAGCGUAAACUCCUUUUAUAUAGGAAGAAGAUGACGGUACUAUAUGAAUAAGCGCCGGCUAACUCCGUGCCAGCAGCCGCGGUAAUACGGAGGGCGCAAGCGUUACUCGGAAUCACUGGGCGUAAAGAGCGUGUAGGCGGAUUAAAAAGUCAGAAGUGAAAUCCUAUAGCUUAACUAUAGAACUGCUUCUGAAACUCUUAAUCUAGAAUAUGGGAGAGGUAGAUGGAAUUUCUGGUGUAGGGGUAAAAUCCGUAGAGAUCAGAAGGAAUACCGAUUGCGAAGGCGAUCUACUAGAACAUUAUUGACGCUGAGACGCGAAAGCGUGGGGAGCAAACAGGAUUAGAUACCCCCGUAGUC
rnacentral:rRNA from 1 species